rnacentral:rRNA from 1 species
UACGUAGGGUGCAAGCGUUGUCCGGAAUUAUUGGGCGUAAAGAGCUCGUAGGCGGUUUGUCGCGUCGGCUGUGAAAACUCGGGGCUCAACCCCGAGCCUGCAGUCGAUACGGGCAGACUAGAGUGCUGUAGGGGAGACUGGAAUUCCUGGUGUAGCGGUGAAAUGCGUAGAUAUCGUAAGGAAGACCAGUGGCGAAGGCGGGUCUCUGGACAGUUCCUGACGCUGAGGCACGAAGGCCAGGGGAGCAAACGGG